GGCUCUCUGGUACUUACCACAGGCUGUGUUCUUAUACCGAUUGUAUACAAAGAGGAGGCAGAGUAAACCUACCCUCUAUACACCUCAGCCCAGGCCUUGUGCCUGGCCCAUAUUAUGAAUGGGGGGACCAGC
ensembl:snoRNA